rnacentral:ncRNA from 1 species
GGUAGGCCUUGCGGGUGCGAGCUCGCUGCAGUCUCGCUGAGAUAACCGUUCGAACCUGAUCAGGGUAGUUCCUGCGAAGGGACUGGGCCGCCUUACCUCU